AGGUGGACAGAAAAUCAAGAUCACCGAAGCUUGAUGUUGAUCGGUGUAAACUUGCCGCGCUGGCAGCUGUGUGGAUUAAUGUAUACAGCACUGAAAGUCGUGUGGCUGGUUUCGAGUCAGGUGGAGCUUCACGAUCACCGGAGAGCUCGUGGAAGAGCUUCAAAGGAAGACGAAGAAAUCUUGUGAACAAGACAUUGCAAGCGAUUUCUUUGUAUUCAAAAAUAAACAACCAUAAGCAAU